GACCAGACUCCUACGGGAGGCAGCAGUGGGGAAUAUUGCACAAUGGGGGAAACCCUGAUGCAGCGACGCCGCGUGAGCGAUGAAGUAUUUCGGUAUGUAAAGCUCUAUCAGCAGGGAAGAAGAUGACGGUACCUGACUAAGAAGCCCCGGCUAACUACGUGCCAGCAGCCGCGGUAAUACGUAGGGGGCAAGCGUUAUCCGGAUUUACUGGGUGUAAAGGGAGCGUAGACGGCGAUGCAAGCCAGAUGUGAAAGCCCGGGGCUCAACCCCGGGACUGCAUUUGGAACUGUGUGGCUGGAGUGUCGGAGAGGCAGGCGGAAUUCCUAGUGUAGCGGUGAAAUGCGUAGAUAUUAGGAGGAACACCAGUGGCGAAGGCGGCCUGCUGGACGAUGACUGACGUUGAGGCUCGAAAGCGUGGGGAGCAAACAGGAUUAGAUACCCCAGUAGGG
rnacentral:rRNA from 1 species